NNNCCCUGGCAACGCCCGAUCUCGUCUGAUCUCGGAAGCUAAGCAGGGUCGGGCCUGGUUAGUACUUGGAUGGGAGACCUCCUGGGAAUACCGGGU
rnacentral:rRNA from 1 species